UAGUUAGUUAUUUUAAUGGAGGUACUGGGAAUUGAACCCAGGACCUCGUGCAUGCUAAGCAUGUGCUCUAACCAUUGAGCUAUACCCUCCCCCCUCUCCCAGUCCCCUGCUUGACCGCUGCCCCUCUUCCAACCUUUCUUGUUCUCUUUCUUCUUCCCAUCCACCACCAUCAGUCUUUCUCCAUGUUUUAUUUAUUUUAUUUACUGUCUCUCACUGAAGUGUCAGCUCCAGGUGGGCAGCCAUCUUUGAUUUGUUCUCCACUGUAUCCUCAGCACCUACUAGGUGCUCAGUAAAUAUCUGUGGAAUCAAUGGAUGAAUUCACCAAAACCACAGUCUUACCAAAUUUGUUUCUCAAAGUACCGAUGCACUUUAUGCAUUUUACAUGUGUUAAUGAAAGUCAGGUGAUGUACUAGUUUCCUAGGGCUGUCAUAACAAAUUACAAGUGGAGUGGCUUAAAGCAACAGAAAUGUAUUAUUUCACAGUUCUGGAGGCUAGAAGUCCAAAAUCUGGCAGGGCUGAGUACCCCCCGAGGUGCUCCGGAGCAAAAUCUGUUCCUUAUCUCUUCCAGCUUCUGGUGGCUCCAGAAUUCCUUGACUUAUGGUCACAUCACUCUGAUCUCUGCCCCUGUCUUCAUACGUUUUCUCUGUGUCUGUCUCUGCUUCUCUCAUGUAAAGAUACAUGUAAUUGCAUUUAGUAUCCAGCUGAAUACUCCAGGAUGAAUGCCACCUCUCAACUCAAGAUCCUUAACUUAAUCUCAUCUUUUUCCAUGUAAGAUAACCUGUGAAGGUUCUGGGGCUGAGAAGUAGAUAUAUCUUUUCUUUCUCUGGGGGCCACUGUUCAGCCCACUAUGUUAUUUGCACGAAGACCAGAAAAGCAAAGAUUCCCAUGACCACUCCGCUGGCCUGACAGAUAUGUAAUGAGUAUGUUGCUUCAGUCAGACCCUGGAAAUGAUUUUUAAAACACCAUUUUAUGUUUUUUAAUUAUCCCAAUUAAAAAAAUAAUAAUACCAUGCUCAUGAUAAGGAACACAGUACAGAAUUGUGGGAGAUGCAAGAGCCCUUUGCAAUUUUUCUCUAACUCCAAUUUCAGUUUCUAAAUGUAACCACUGUAGGCAGUUGGCAUACUCUCCAUAAAUUUUCUAAGCAUAUUCGAGAGCAUACACUUUUUUUUGCUCAUAACAUUAGGAAAAUUGGGGGCAUGACAAUAUAUUCUGAAGACCUGACAGCCCUCCAAUCCACCCCAAUCUUUCUAAUGACUUCUAGCAAUGCACCAUACUUAACCUGUCCCCUACUGGCCAACAUUUCCGUUCGACUCCAGGAUUUUGCCGUUAUAACACACAGACUCCCUGGCACUUGGCCAGGUAUAUUCGUAGGAUACAUUCCUAGAAUUGGGAUGUCUGAGUCAGAGGAUGUGUGCAUUUUUAAUUUCUGUAGCUACUGCCCGGUACCCUCCACAAAGGUGGCAUCAGCCACACACCCAUCAGCAAUGCACACGUGAGGGUACCUGCUUCCAUCACCCUCACCCACCCUGGCAAGGAUGCAGCACGUCGGGGGAAGCAAAUCCCAAAUUCAGGUAAGUGGACUUUCCAUGUGGGCCUGAGUAGGGGUGGACACAGCCUCCGAGGUUAUCCCUUUAGCCUGCGGAGGCGCUAAGCCAUCCAGGGUUCUCAUUUGGGUCUCAUAAACAAAGGCAGGGCUUGGGGAGGUGAGCCAGAACCAUGCUGCGAGAUGCCUUGUGCAGCUCAGUAUUUAUUUCUUCAGUGCAGUUAGAACUUAAAUAUGGUCAAAACAUAUUCUUCUUUUAAUUUACACAAACAAAUAUGUUCCCAGGCUGACACCUCUGGUGCCAAGUUUCUAGGGGAAAUGAAAUUCUACUGUGAGAUUAUAAACCACUAGAGAAAAGAUGAGGAUGGAAAAGCCGCCGCCGUCAGCUUCGCGCGUCCGAGCGGGGCUGCUGAGAGAUGUUUCAGAACCGGGCUGCUGCUUCUCAGUCUCUUUCUGUUUUUGUUGCAGAUAAACCUGCCAGUAAUUUUAGCAAAUGAAACAUGGAAUGCCUAAAGGCCAGAGGAUGGAAAACGCUCCGGUUUUGAUAAAAGGAGGUCUGCUCGGCUUGGACUCCUCCGUCCUGCUAGUCAGGAGACGCAAAGAUUUAUCCAGAGAGGGGCUGAUGAACUGAGGAAAGAGAAAUGAGGCCAAUGUUGCACUUAAUAACUAGUUCAAGUGCCCAAUAGCCACACGGGGCUAGUGGCCACCACACUGGACAGCACAGAGAGCGACUGUUUUGAUGACCGCAGAAGGUCCUGUGCCAUUGACCAGUGCCGUUCCAGAGAUUUCACAGAACCUUGAACUUCCCUGGGCCUCGAUGUUCUCACCUGUAAAACAGGCAUAAUGUGACAUCAACUAACUCAACAAAUCUUUAUUAUGGGAGGACAGUGGCAAAAAGGACCUAGUUUUAUGGAACUAGACACUUGGAGGAUCUCCACACUUUCCAACGACUGAGUAUCCAGCUCGGCCGGACCCACAGAAUAUUUUCACUUAACUGCGUGCUCAUAUUUCCAUGAACCCCUGAGUCAGUGGUGACACAUGAAUGAUGCUCGACAAAUAGUCAUUGAUGGACCAACCAAAGCUACCGUCACCUCUGACUGGGCCUCCAUCCGAGACUGCAGAAAUCCUCUGUGACCUCCAGUUCCCAUUCCAGACAGGCUAGCAUCCGUGAUGUCACACGACAGAAGGUGUUUCCAGAGAAAGACUGGCCGAGAGGCUGGCGGACAGGAUCGGGUGUGUUUUUUCUUUAAUUAUUGUACCUGUUCUGUCUGUUCUCUCUUGGCUCGGUUCACACACACACCCCCACCGCCCCAGCACCAGCUCAGGAAAAAACAAAACCAAAACAAAGCAUUACGGCAGAGGUUGAGCCACGAUAGCUGGCUGGUUCCCUCUCUGCUUGUAAUUAAUGCUGAAAAUGUUCAUGACUUGCCUUGGCCACAAAGAUAAUAAUAAAAUUAUGCAGUCUGAUUAUUUGGCUACCAAUUCUUCUCUUCUUCUUCUUCUUUUUUUCCUUCCCCUCUCCUUAAAUUAAUUCCAGAGUUCCUCCAGAUUUCUCGUUGCUAAGCUAUAAAGUUCCAGGUUUCGCAGCGCCCGUGCUGAUUGGCAGGGAGGCUCCGGGCAGCUCCAAUCAGAAGCAAGUUGCUG